rnacentral:rRNA from 1 species
GAUGAACGCUGGCGGCGUGCCUAAUACAUGCAAGUCGAGCGAACAGAUGAGGAGCUUGCUCCUCUGACGUUAGCGGCGGACGGGUGAGUAACACGUUGAUAACCUACCUAUAAGACUGGGAUAACUUCGGGAAACCGGAGCUAAUACCGGAUCAUAUAUUGAACCGCAUGGUUCAAUAGUGUAAGACGGUUUUGCUGUCACUUAUAGAUGGAUCCGCGCCGCAUUAGCUAGUUGGUAAGGUAACGGCUUACCAAGGCAACGAUGCGUAGCCGACCUGAGAGGGUGAUCGGCCACACUGGAACUGAGACACGGUCCAGACUACUACGGGAGGCAGCAGUAGGGAAGCUUCCGCAAUGGGCGGAAGCCUGACGGAGCAACGCCGCGUGAGUGAUGAAGGUCUUCGGAUCGUAAAACUCUGUUAUUAGGGAAGAACAAAUGUGUAAGUAACUAUGCACGUCUUGACGGUACCUAAUCAGAAAGCCACGGCUAACUACGUG